rnacentral:lncRNA from 1 species
CUGAGAUCUGGUGCCCACUCAGAGACGGUGUAGCUGUCCUCUAUACAGACCCUGGGUGAGACUAUUUAUGCCUCCCUGUCCUGCUGUGCACCACUUGGAGACCUCACAAGAAAGAAAAGGCACCUGUGGAAAUAGAAUAUGAUUGAGGUAUCUUGGGAUAUUUCACCACAACAGCAAGAGCUGCUGGAUUUUCCUGAGGAAGCAACAGAUCCUCUGCAGGGCAGAGCCUACCUUGUGCUUGGCUGUUGUGCCUUCCAAAUGGGUCCGGUUUGGAUUCCAGAUGCAAAGCAUCAGUGUGCCUCUCCCUGCCAUGGGCCUGGACUGACCACCACCACCACCUCUCAGUGAGACAUGCUCCUCCACUGCCUGGGUGUCACCCUGUGCUCAAAGCUGGUCACUUCCCAGGGCUCUAGUCCUGCUCCUGGCUGAACUGUGUUAUCUUCUCACAACAUUAAGAGGAAACAGGAUCAGAAGUGAUAAAUGCAUUGGCAGAGGUCCUACAGCAAGAUCUACCCCGCAGAGAGGACUGAACGUUGCCGCUGGUUAUUGCCUUCAUCUGAGCUCCUGUGGCAGAUAUCCAGGCAAUGAAUCCAACCAGCCCUGCUCCAUUAAUGAACCCUGAGAAGAUCAAAGAUGGAAGCACAAGAUGAAGUGUCUGCUUUACAGCUCUUAAAAGCUUAAGAAAAAUGAAAACACAUACAAGGAACCGAUAUGAGGCCAAUUUUACCGAAGAUGGAAAACUAAACUCAAAGGUGAGAUUUUGUGCCAGACAAUGUUUCUUUGUGACUACAUUUCAUCUUCCUUCCUCAGAUGCAUUAUGAUAAAAUCUAAUUAUAGCAUUACACAAUUUUCCCCAGACAGUUUUUUUUUUUUUUUUUUUUUUUUUUUUUUUGAAGCAGCACAGCCAAUAUUUAUUUUUUUAUUCACUUCUUUUUGUUCAGCUUUUUUGUUUGUCUGCUGUUUCGGGUUUUAUUGCCUACACUACUCAGACAAGGACCGAUCUCUCUUCAAGUUAAUGAAGGCCAUGGAAUUCAGUUGUUGGAUCGUGACAGGACCCAUCCCACCUAGCAGAGAGGUGCAGGAGGUGGCUGGGAAGCAGUCACUGCCAGGGUCUGAUGGCAGCCCUCCUGAAGGAUGGUUCUUCCAUGAGGAGAGAUGGCACCACUCCAGGUCUCCACGUAUUGAGGGUGUAGGGUUUUACAGACAGUUUACUCAUCCACCACCUGCAUUAAGGAGAAUGGGCUCCAUCCUGCUCUUCCCCAGGUGUCUCUCUGCUACUCACCUGGUAGAGCCAUUCUCAGCUACAGAGGCCCCUUCACCACCAAUCUGGUAAGGAAUUAUCUUCUCCUUUCUAAUCACAAUUCAUUAAGUCAUUGGUAUAUAUUAUUAGCUUCUAAUUUAUGCUCAUGUUUGUGUCUCCUUUUGCAGUAGAAGUUAGACUUUGGUACAAUUCUUUCUUAUUUUCUGUUUCUCAAUUUUUCUCCAUGCAUAUACAGACAGUAACUGCC